AGACCCGGACAGUUUGUCGCUGGCCGACCGGCCUUUCGAGGCUGGAAGACGAGAGGAAAGUCCGGGCAACACAGUGAGGUGUCCGCUUCCUAAUAUAGAAGAGAUCCGCGAGGGUCUGUACGUGCAGAAGAAAAUAACCGCCGCGCCUUUGAGGCCUGCCUCAUAAGCUCGGUAAGGGUGAGAAGGUGGGGUAAGAGCCCACCGGGCCGUCUGGUGACAGCGGUGCCGUGCACACCGGAAGUUGAAAGUCCGCGUAUACCGGCGUUUGAGGGUGGCCUCCUGCCCGAGCCGGAGGGUGGGACGAUAGAGGCCGUUGGCAACAACGGUCGUGGAUAAAUGACAGACGCCCAAGCUUUCGUGGCAUGGGAACAGAACCCGGCUUACACAGGGUCUGCGC
rnacentral:RNase_P_RNA from 1 species